rnacentral:rRNA from 1 species
GUCUACAGCCAUGCUAGCCUGAACAAGCCCAAUCCUGUCUGAUCUUGGAAGCUAAGCAGGGUUGGGCCUGGUUAGUACUCAGAUGGGAGACCACCUAGGAAGUCCAGGUGUAAGUU